GACAGAGGGUGCGAACGUUGUUCGGAAUUACUGGGCGUAAAGCGCAUGUAGGCGGCAGCGCAAGUCGGGCGUGAAAUCCCACGGCUCAACCGUGGAAGUGCACUCGAAACUGCGCAGCUAGAGUCCUGGAGAGGAAGGUGGAAUGCUUGGUGUAGAGGUGAAAUUCGUAGAUAUCAAGCGGAACACCGGUGGCGAAGGCGGCCUCUGGACGAGUGACGUGACGGCUGAGAUGCGAAAGCUAGGGUACGCAAA
rnacentral:rRNA from 1 species